GUCCUAGGAAGAAAGUGACAAGGGUGCUGGGACCAGGGCCAGUGCCAGAGGCCCUCUGUGGCCCCCGGGUCCCAGUCUAUAAAUGCCAGGCCCCAGGGGGUGUAUCUGGCACAGCUCCCUGAAUCCUCACGUCGGAGCUGCCUGCCCACAGCCUUCUGUUGCUGCCUCCCUUCACGGUGGCAGCACAAGGGCGCGCAGGUCCAAAUGCUGGUCUCACCAUUUCCUUGCUGCUUGAUCUUGGGCAGUGACUUGCAAGCUUCCUACCUCAGUUUCCCCACCUGUAAAUUGGUGAUAAUAAUAGCUCCUACCUAUUCUGGGAACAAAAGGAGUGGAAAUGUGUAAAGCUCUUAGGACUGUACCUGCACACAGAGCAUCACAGAGGCGUGUUGUUCCUAACACAAUCAGACAUCGGACUCCUAACUUGAGGAAGUAAAGACGUGCUUGAGAUCAAAGUGCUGCAGCUGAAACCAGAACCCAGCCUGACUUCUCUCCUCCCACCUUUCUGUCCCACCCUGGGCAGGCGGCAGAGCAGUGGCACCACGGCCACCCAGUGGGGAGCAGGGGGCAGAUGAGCAGCCUGUCCCAUGAGGGUGGCAGGGCAAGGCAAUGACACGCAGCACCAACCAGAGACGCCGGGAUGUUUCCCUGGGAAGCCUCCCCUGACCGCCGAAGUGUGGCAUGCUCUCAGUGGAUUAGGACUUUCCCGCCCGUCCCCUGCAAACACCACUGGAAGCAGAGCCUGUGCUCCAGCAGCCCCCAUAGAGCUGGUAACUACUGGACACUCAACAUAUGCAUCUCCAUCACCACCUACGGGAGCCCUGAGAAGCGAGCUUGGAGGGGAUGGAGUGGCCCCAGAGCCGUGGUGGUGGCCCCCCCCCACCCCUAUGAGCAAACUGAGGCUCCGGUGCGAGUCAGAAGAGCUGGGCUCUGGACUCAGGCAGUUUGCCUCCUCUCAGCCCACACACAUGUUCCACUCACAUGACACUCUGGGGAGCUCAGCAGACCCACCACGUUUCAUUCUAUAAAUGGCCUGAGUGCAGACGUCAGCCCUGAGUCACCCGGCACCCGCUCAGCAAAGCUUGACUUGACAACAUGCUGCUCUGAAAUAACAAGUUAUUCUG